GUGGUUGCCACUAAGAAUUCAGUGGGGGAGGAUGAAUAGGUUGUCUUCCUUGGCUUGUGAUGCUAGUGCAGUCAGCAUGAUUGACUUGCCUGCAGCAGAUGGGACUUGAGCUGUGUUUUCUGACGUCAAUCAACCACUCCCAUUCUCUAGUGGAGAAGCAUCUGGAAGGUUUCGUGCUUUAGUGUGCAGUGUUGCUCAGAACUUUCCCCUUCCCUUCAUACAGUGAGAAAGAACUGUCUGCUGUCUAGGCUUUUUGGGAACGCUGAUUUUUCUAGGUGGACAAUGUUCUCUUCAUUUGUAUAGAGCUAGAAACUGUUUCACCUUAAUUAUUAAAGGUAAUACAGAAGAGAAUCACUUUCUAAGUAAACAAUGUGUCAGUGAGACACCUCAGAAGGCGUAGAAUCAGCAUCUCCCCUUGGACUUGGAGAGCAGAGGCAGCAAGCUAUGUGACCAAUGCCGCAGGUCUUUCUACAUUUUCAUGUGUUCUAGAAUAGAACCAUGCUGCUUCCUAGAAAGUAGGCCCAGUACCUGCUUUGCUUCGAGCUGUUCCCCGGCGGACUGAAUCUUCUCUUUUGGUAUCAUCUCAUCAGUACCAGAAAACAUUUGCUAACCUGGAGCAGAAGAACAGAACUCAAAGAGGGACAUCUCAGCUUUCAACCACUAAGGCAUGGUAUGCCAGUGGCAGAAGACAGCACAAACAGAAGGAUGAGAAGAGAGGAACUGAACUUUAAUAAAAAACAUUGAACAGGUAGCCUGACUGUGGGGUCCUUACACUCUGUAAAGAGCACUGGUAAGCAAGUGACUUUCCUUUUACAGCGGUAUCAGCAAAAGCCAUAAAACAAAGGUGCAGAGCAGGCUCAGAGGGUAAAGUAUUUAAUGGUCAAGGGUAAGGAUCUGAGUUUGGAGCUCUAGCACCCAUGGUGAACUGAGACUUGUGUCAUCUCAUUGCUACCUGCAUAAAAGGGAUAUAGGCAUGCGUUUCUGGUGAGGUUGCAUUGGUCAGUCGGUGAAACUUAAAUGAGAAGCUUCAGGUACAGUAAGAAACUCUGUCUUGAAAAUAAAGGAGAAAGCAAUAGAUCACUCUUCCCAAUGCUGUGACCCUUUCGUACAGGUCCUCAUGUUGUGGUGACCCCAACCACAAAAUUCAUUUUGUUGUUGCUCUAUAACUAAUUUUGCUACUGACCAGUGUCUUGGUUCCUAAGACGGUUGGAAAUAUGUGUUUUCCAAUGGCUGUGACCCAAAGAUUGAGAACUGUUGCAAUAGAGGAAGAUGCUCACUGUCAUUAUCUGACUUCCAAAAACAUAAAUAUGGGCGAGAUCACCAAUAUACAUACAUUUCUACAACACACACACACACACACACACACACACACACACACACCACUUACACACAUUGAGCAAACAAGCCAUUUAAAAAUAGGCUAUGGAUGUUUCACUGACAAACUUGGCAUUAAGUUUCAUCACACAAUUUUCACAUUAAGUACACCAUCAACAUCCAGUAUUUGAGGUCCCUCAGUGUGUUCAGAUGUCAUUUGUAUUAACUUGCUAUCCCCAUUCUGGUUGGACAAGGAGGGGAUGAGAGAGUAUUUUCAACACGUCCUCUUCAUUCUCUGCUUGAUUUUGGUUUCAAAUGUCUAUUUUCACUGGGAGUUGGGAGGCAGAGGCAGGGGGAUCUCUGUGUUUGAUGCCAGUCAGUUCCAGGACAGACACGGCUACACAGAUUAGUCCUGUUUUGAAAAAUCAGGAAGAAAGAAAGAAAGAAAGAAAGAGAGAGAGAGAGAGAAACAAAGAAACAAAGAAACAAAGAAAGAAAAGGAGGGAAGAAAAGGAAGGAAGGAAGAGAAAGGGUAAAUGUCUGCUUCUCCUUUAUGAUUUCUUAAUAUUAUUACUAACCCAAUUACCUAAAACAGACAUUUUGAUGUAAGAAAUUGUCACGGAAGAAACUAACCACCCCUAGUUCUCACUGUCUCAGGAUUAUUUUCAUUUUUCUACCCUCCAUGGGCUUAAAGCAGUGCCAGGUGCAUUUACAACAGUAUGGGGUGAGAUUUUGAAAAUGGAGACAAGAAAAGCAGAGUGAUGCUGGCUCAAUUCAGACCAGGGGCAGAGACCGCAGGCAAAGUAACACGCACCCAUGACCGCAAUCUUUCUGAGAGGCUAACUACUGAAUCAGCCCAAGAAGUGCUAGCUGAUGAGCGACGGGGAAAAGGAAUGACGAUAGCCUUCUUGAGGAAUUAGAAUUCAGUUUCUGCUGUAGGUAUCCCUGCAUCUCAGUUACUCAGCCAUGCUUCAGGUGGAGCGAAGGGACGAAGCAAUCAGUAGGAAGGCAGAGAGAGGGCUGGUGUAGAAGCACUCCCACUCUGUUAAUCUAAUUUUGAGGCAUGAAGCGUUCUUCAAAAUCCAGGAAAUGAAUGUAUUGUUCUUCUGUGUGAAUUUUUACCCACCCCCUUUCCUCCAGAAGAGAGGAGAGGAUAACAUUAUAAGGGAUCAGAACUUAGUGAAAAUGUUGCUUUUUUUUUUCCGGUGGGUUAGCGGUGACACUAGUGAUCAGGGCACUUUAGGCAAUUCAAGUUCCCACACAUCCUAUCUGCCCAUGAGCAAAAGGAUCGAGGUGGCGUUUAUACCCUCUAACAGCUCCUGGGAGGAUAGCUCUGACAACAAGCGCAUUACUCACUGGUGAUGUGAGAGCCAAGUUCAUGGCUUCUAGCCAGGCACACUCUGUCACUGGACAUCUCAGGGUCAGGGUAACCCACCGCUCUGAGAAACUUCUGCCAACUCAGCCUUGAGUCCUCCUGGCAGAGGAAAGAGUGAAGGCUGCUGAUCCCAGCUGUCCUCAAGUCCAGUGUCCUUCACACUCUGGAUGGCUGUGGCUUUAAAGUCAAUUGUCCCAGCAGGCCGGUACACUCUCGCCAAGUCUCCACCGAGACCCUUGAUCUGUGUUCCUUGUCUCCCUUUACCCCCUUGCUCACCCAGCAGGCACACCUGCUGAGGAGCGGGUGGACCACGGCCAAACCCAUGGCUUCCUCUCUGACUCACAUAACCGCAGUGUGUUUGCGUUUCAUGCCCUCUGUAUCUCUAAUCGCACCAUAUGACGAUGCUGCUUCUCAUUUGUCUGCUCCUCGCUAUGUAGAUCUUUGUGGUUGCAGCACCCAAUUCGUACCUGACAGAGGGAAAAUAACCAUCCAGGAGAUCCUCAUGACUAAUCAGAUCAUGGGAUUAUUCCAAAAAUGAAAUAGUAAAUGAGAUAUUAAUUAUAAUUAUUUAAAUCAAACGAAUUAAAAUGAGAUAUUAAUUUAAAUAUUAACCAAAAAACCAGAAAACAUAGUACGUACUCAUAUGUAUUUUUAAUUUUAUUCUUUUUAAGUUAAAAGUAGAUGGUUUUUCAUAUAAUCUAGUCUAAGUAUGAUUUCUUCUCCCCAAUGCUCCACCCACUCAAAUCUACACCCUUUUGUUCUCUCUAUCUCAUUAGAAAGCAAACAGGCCAUCUAAAAACAAUAAUAAAAUAAGAAAAUUAAUAAAACCAAGCAAACUAGCAGAAGACAAAAAAAAUCCAAGAAACAAGAGCAUAAGAAUUAAUAUAAACUGAGAGACUCACAGGUUAACACACACAUAAUUCCAUAAAAACACAAUACUAGAAACCGUAAAGUAUAUGCAAAAGACAUGCAAAGGAAUAAUAAAUGCAAAAACAAAAACAACGUUCAGACCAAGUAUUGUGGAACAAGGAACCUUUAAAAAGACCAUUGAGUUAAUUUUGUGUUGACCAUCAAUUGCUGGACAUGGACCUGGGCUUGGGUAUAGUUUAUAUACCCAGUGAGACUCCAUUGGAGAAAAUUGUUCUUUCUUUUGUGAGUGGUUAUCAACUGGAGAUAGCUUCUGGGUGGGGGAUGGGACCUUGUGUCCACUUCUCUCAGCACUGGGACUCCUCUCUGGGUCAG